CUGACGCCAGGAAGGCAAGACCGAUGCUCUCAAGUCCUGUUACUGUGAACGGCACCAACUACCACAGGAGACACAGCCCGUCCACUAUUUCCACGGUGUAUUAUCCAACGGACUCAAGCUGUGUCAGACAGGGAGCACAAAAUCAAACUCAGGAGGAUUUGAACGGAAGCACCUAGCCCUGACUAUUCACAUCAACUGGAAUUGUGCUGCACAUAUGUAAGACAUGAUAAAGAAUAACAAAUCUGAGGACAGUCAGUAUGGUAACGCUCUCACUCACCCUACCUGAAAGCAGCCUCAGACUGCAUUUGUCUAGUUUGGACUGCUGGUGCAGUUUCACACACAUCAUUGAAAACACCACGUGAAUUAGAUGACAAUUCCUACUCUGAAACAGUAACCAAGGACAAACACCACGAUCCCCUACUCUGUUCUAAACGCGGGCUGGUGCUGCAGGAAGCAGUACCACCAACUGCUUCUCCCCCUCCCCUGGUCGCACAGUCCUGCCACUUCUCCCGCACCGCACCGAGCCGCACAGCUGGUGCAUCGC